GAUCAUGGCUCAGAGUGAACGCUGGCGGCAGGCCUAAUACAUGCAAGUCGAACGGCAGCACAGCAGAGCUUGCUCUGUGGGUGGCGAGUGGCGGACGGGUGAGGAAUACAUGGGAAUCUGCCCAGUCGUGGGGGAUAACGUAGGGAAACUUACGCUAAUACCGCAUGCGCCCUUCGGGGGAAAGCCGGGGACCUUCGGGCCUGGCGCGAUUGGAUGAGCCCAUGUCGGAUUAGCUAGUUGGCGGGGUAAUGGCCCACCAAGGCGACGAUCCGUAGCUGGUCUGAGAGGAUGAUCAGCCACACUGGAACUGAGACACGGUCCAGACUCCUACGGGAGGCAGCAGUAGGGAAUAUUGGACAAUGGGCGCAAGCCUGAUCCAGCCAUGCCGCGUGAGUGAAGAAGGCCCUCGGGUUGUAAAGCUCUUUUGUCUGGAAAGAAAAGCGCCGGGUUAAUACCCUGGUGUCCUGACGGUACCGGAAGAAUAAGCACCGGCUAACUUCGUG
rnacentral:rRNA from 1 species